ensembl:lncRNA
UGUGCCCUAAGGGGUAUGGUCACUGGGCCCUAAGGGGUAUGGUGGUCACCGUGCCCUAAGGGGCCCUAAGGGGCCCGGUCACCGCGCCCUAAGGGGCCCUAAGGGGCCCUAAGGGGUAUGACCACCGUCACCGUGGUGAAGACAGUUGGAGCGUUGUAAUGGGCCAGGGUUCCUCUGAGGGUCUCUCACUGCGACUAAACGGUUCCUCCUGUCCUCCACCUCGGGGGUCCAGCUGCAUGCCCCCCUCCCCAGAGGACGGACGCCCCCCCUCUGAGCCUAAGGGGGGCCGACAGGACGGACCGCCCCCCCCCACGGCCCACAGCCAGCCCCCUCAGCGGGCGGGACCGGACGCCGGCAAGGUCCCCAAGUGGCUGAAGCUCCCAGGAAAGAAGUGAGUCUCCUGCUGGUCAACUAGAGACUGCAGUCUUCUCCAUCGCUGAAAUGAACCUCACCAUUUUAGCUUUACCGCCGUUAUGGCAAAGCACUCGAUUGAUCAUGUAACACGCCGGCAUUCAACAGUGAAACAAGAACAUGUAAGGACCAAUAAAUACUUGCAUACGUUUUCGCCUUGGCUGAUGUCCG